rnacentral:lncRNA from 1 species
UUUACAGUUGAAAUAUAUCACCGUGAUUAGGUUUGAUUUCCAAUUAUUUCAGCUGGUUUCAGAGUUCACCAAACAGGCACCGGAGUUGCUUUUCGCCUAUACAAUGACUAAAACACCCUUGGCGAGAGGGAUCCACCUCUCGUAAAUCACACCAACACGAAAGGACAAAGACGGAAGAGAAGCAGAAUGAAGCAGCUAUAAAAGCACAUAUGAAGCUAACUGAGGGUUUUGACGCUCUCCGGAAGAAGAAUGAGGCUUACCUGCGGCGGACGGGACGAUUUAUAUGUCGUCCCUCCCGUCGGAGCCAAUGAUUUCAGAGCGGUUUCUUAGCCGCCACCAAUACUUUUCUUUUCUUUUCUACUCUCCCUGUCUCUAUCUCUCUCUCUCUCUCUAUCUAUAUAUAUAUACACACACACACACACACACAUGCAUACAUAUGAGGCUAUGAUGAUGCGUUCUUUUCCGGGAGUGUCCGAUAGGGCAAAUGGUGAAGGUCACCGUAGCAUGGCGGGGUUACUCGGAUGGCCCGCGAAAAUAUUCUUUUCGCUGGCAACCGGUUGUUGCAGCCAUGGCGGUGCUGUUAUACCUUUCUCUUGCCCCGAUCAUAUUAUUCUGAUCAGAUCUGAGCCUCCCUAUUUUUUUCAGUUUUACCUAUCUCGAUCUGUUGCUUUUCUGUUACUCCUUGUUUGUCAAUGCUUCUUUUUUUUUUAAGAAAAAAUUGAAGGUGUUAGAAAUUUUAGAUAUCGUAUUUUUUUCCGUGAUCCUGUGAACGAGAAUAACCGCCGGUGGUUGUGGAGAAAUGGCUGUGGACAUCUUGCAAUGGGGAAGCUACAUUCUGGGAAUUUCUAGUCGAUAAAUUACGUUAAUUAAAAAGAAUUAAUGAAGAAAAUUACGAUUAACAAAUAGCUUAGAUAUAAUGAUUACGCUAACUGGGGUGGGUUUGGGUUCGGUUUAGAGGUUGGGUUCUCGAUUAAGUUGUAAAUCAAGUCUUUGGAUUUGUUUAAGGAGAAAUAAGGGGUAAAUUUUAUUCAUGUGAAAAUUAUUUGAACUUGCUCACAUUUCUUAAAAUUUUGGUGCAUUGUAAAACUACUAUAUUAAAAUUAAGGUGUAAAUUAUUUUUAAAUAUAUUGAAAUUUUUAUAAUAUAAUUAUGAAAAUAUUGAAUACAAUAAUUAUUAUUAAUUUACGUUAUAAAAAUAAAUUAAUAAAUAAUUCUUGCGGAAAAUAAUGGAGAAAUCCACAACGGGAGGAAAGAUAAAAAGGAAUAUUUAGGGGAAAAAAGAACAUUUUUCUCUUAUUUUAUUUGCGAUGAAAAAAAUCGAAAGGUAAAAACUUUUACUUUUUAUUUAAAAAGUGAAUGAAAAAAAUAGUAAAACUAUGUUUUAUUCUUAUAAUUAUUUAUUUCAAUUAUAAUUACUAUUCAACAGAGAUUUUGCGUCUUAAUAGAGAAUAAAAAAUUAUUAUUAUUAACUCACUUUUAUUUUCUUUCAUUCUGUAGAAUAAGUACUUUUUUUCUAAUAAAAAUGUCCAUAAACCAGUAAAAUAUAUUAAAUAAUUUUUUUAAUUUCUAAAUAGAUAAAAAAGCUGUUAAAGGAUAAAAAAGCUCUUUAAAUUUAAAAAUAAAAAAUAAUCAUUCAAUUUUUAAAAAUAUUAACUAUAACUUGCUUUUAAUUUUAAUCUAGGUAACUUAAGCACGAAAAAAAUUAUAGUACGUCAAGUGAUAUUUAACUUGCAACAUAAUAGUGGAUAUCUAUUAUAUUAUACAAUUGAUUAAUAAGUUGUUUUUUAUCAAAUGAUUCAAAAUGCAUCUUUAUAUAUUUAUUGCCUAAAUUAUUUGACAGUAUCAAUUUAAUUACUGUGUAAUGAGACUUAAUUCUGAUUAUUUUGUUAAAAAAUUGAAAGUUAAGUAUGCAAUGAAAGUUUCCAGCCAUAAAAAUAUGUUAAUUAUAUUAAUAUUAGAGUAAUAACUUAUUUUCUCUAAUCUUUAAUUUAAAAAGUUUUAUUUAAUUAUUUUUAAGAAUUUCUGGAAAUUUUUAUCUGCCUCAGUAGCUUAUUCAUAUAUUUUUAAAUUUUAAUCAUCUCAUGUUAUCUACUUAAGCGGAUGUAUUAUAAAAAAAUGAAUUAAAAAUAAAGAUUUCUUUUGAUUUAUUUUUAAUUUUUUUUUAAAAAAUUAUGUCUUAUUAGUUUAUUGGAUUUAUUUUUAAAAUUUAAAUAUCUUGUUUUAUCGACAUUUAAAUUUUAAUUUAAAAAAUAAAGAAUUUAUACAAAUAUUUACACACGGCUUAACAUCUAAACAGAGUUUGAGAGGAAGGGAAAGGGCUAAAGGGCACCGCCGCGUCAGCCAAACAGAGGCCAUAGUUUAGCACGCUCACUCCACGCAUGAGCUACACGCGUGAACUGAGGCCAGCGUUUGAUGUUUCCUCGGUUUGCUUUAUUUUACUGUUUUAUCUUUAACCCCUAUCAAGCCCAUUUCGAAAUCUAUUGACCAAAAUAACCUUAUGCUCGGCCGCCUCAAUGUCCUCCCACAGCCGGUGGACUUACAAGGGUAAUAUGGGAAUAAUGGAACUAGCACAUAACUUCUCACUAUAAAAGGGAAGAUAUUACAGCGAACAGAGAUUAAGCACUCAUUAGUUUAAAAAUGAGGCUUUGCUCUCGGAGAGGGGGAUGGGUUUUCUUGGAAGGGUGGUUGCAUCCCUCUCCAAAUGCUUGCGGAGCUGAUGAUUUCAUUGCCACUUGUGUAAAAUCAACCGCUCUAUCUCUCUGUGUAUUUAUUUAUUUAUCAUCUUCAUCACCAUUUGCUUCUUUCUUUCUCUUCUGCUUCUUUAUUUACGAAAUCGUAUUGGAAGAGGCUGUGAUGAUUUUUUCUAUCUGAGUGCAAAAUCAGACGUUAAAGAACGCUUUGACUGUUUGGCGGGGCGAUAUCGAGGUAUUUCUGUGGAGAAGGCUUCGCCUGACACCAUAGAGAUCUUCUUUGUUGUAGCCAUAGCCAUUGUUUUCUUUUUCUUGUCUGAUAGAAGGCGAAUCUGAGCCUCCACAUGCUUUUACCUAAAUUCUUUUGGUUUUACCGAGUUAGGUCUAAUUGUGAUUUUAAUUUUUUUUCUUUGUUCUUUCUUAUAUAUAUAUAUAUAUAUUAUUUAUUUAUUUAUUGAUUAAUUCAAUAUAGACAGUCAAUUGGGGAAAAUAAGGAUCCAUGAAUGUGUGAAUGUUUAAUUUUAUUUUUAAU